rnacentral:lncRNA from 1 species
AUGGACUUUAGAGUCCAUGCAAUUCUCCAGGCCAGAAUACUGGAGUGGGGAGCCUUUCCCUNNNNNNNNNNNNNNNNNNNNNNNNNNNNNNNNNNNNNNNNNNNNNNNNNNNNNNNNNNNNNNNNNNNNNNNNNNNNNNNNNNNNNNNNNNNNNNNNNNNGCCAGAAUACUGGAGUGGGGAGCCUUUCCCUUCUCCAGAGGAUCUUCCCAUCUGCCCAUCUGAGGAAGGGCAAUAGGAAGAUAGGGGCUGCUGUGGAAGCCCAUGCCAGGAGCUGUGAAUUCCAUGUAGCAGAUGGAACCCACUGGAAAAUGGUGUGGGCUAUUAUUUUUAACCAAACGCAUCAAGGAGAACAAUCGAAGUGGUUAAUAUGAACAGUUCCAAAGUUUCAAGGUAUAGUUUGUGGAACAUACUACUUCCUGUUGAUUUUCUUACAAAGCAGGCCUUUCAAGAAAUCAAGUUUCAUGAAGUAAUUACACUACCAUACUUUAAAAAAUUAUUUAGUUUCACAAAUAGCCUUUUCAGAGAUAUACAAAACAAAUAGUGUUUGGACAGUUAAUCUAAAUAAGACAGGCAAGACUGACACAAAGGGAGGAAUAACUGAUUUUAUCUCUUUAAAGAAAAUUGCUUAACACACCUAACUGACAAACUCAGUGCUGGAGCUGUAUUUACUGGUUUACAUCAGUGAUGUGGCAAUAUUUAAGUUGGCAGUUUUAAUUUGAUCCCAAGAGAAUCUUACUAUGUUGUAGUCCACAGAAUAAGAAAAAAAAAAAAACCCACUUAAUAAUUAUAGUACAUGUGGACUUAAGUUUCUUCCUUCCACUUUUUUUUUUUACAGUAUUUGCCAAACAUCUGCUUUUCUUCUGACAUUCUGUCCAAUGGAUGAACAGCUGAUUAUUCAGUAUUCUGUCUACAAACAUCCAACAUAUUGAUUGAACACUAGGCUAAAAAGCACAAAGUUUACUGAUGGACCACUGAAUUAAAAUGUCAAAUUUUUGCCCAUGAAUCCUGCGUCUCAAGAUAGAAAAGGGUUUGGAACAUGGGACUCCUUGGGGAAGCUUACAGUUCUUGGGAAAUCAUAACAAUAAGAACAGAAAGCAUUUAUUGAGCCCUAAAUUAGCCAGAUAAACCACAAUAGUGCAUAAAAUGCUUUUUAAUAUUGAGGAUAGUGGAUGACGCUGGCCUACUUUUUAAGAAAGUGGAAAAUAAGCAAACAAUGUGAUCCCCAAUGUAGUGGGGUUUUGUGUGUAAUAAAUAUGUAAAUACUAUUAUUCCACAGUUCUGAGCUUUUAAUUGGAAAUGAUUAAAAACACAAACUCCAAGAACCAGAAACUUCCUUCCAAUUUAGGGAAGAUACUGAUUUUCUUGAACAGAAGUUAAUAUUUUGUGGGAAAUCAACUCAAUGGACAGGAUGUGUGAAAAAUUAUAGUUAUACAGGCUGGGGAUGGGGUAAGGGGAAGCCUGUGAUGCUAAAAGAAAAAGGUGGAAUAUAAAAAUGCAUGAUGUUAAAUAGCCACCCAAUAAACUACAUAGGUCUAUGGACAAAGACUGGAAAGGAACAAUAAAACCACAGAUGGUUUAGAGCAGUGAAACCCUGGAUCAUUUUUGUUGUUGUUGUUUUUGUUUUCUUUUUACUGUUCUUCCAGUUUUUAAAUGAAAUAAGUAUGUAGAAGCAGCUCAUCUCCAAGAGCCCCUGGGAGGAGCUUGAAGGAGGUGGAAAGCUCCAGUGGAAGCAAAACCACCGGUAGUAGAAGUGAGCUCUGCACAGCCCCAGGAGCAGCAGGAAAGCCAGCAGCAGCACGCCGACAGCCAGCGGGCUGACGUUCCGCUGAUGCCCACGGCCAGCGCAGUGCAGAUCCCACCCAUCGAGGUCUGCGCACUCACAUCACUUCCCGGGUCAGCUGUGACAACGCACAAACAGAAGUCAGCAGUGAGCCAUGGCCAAAACACCUGUAUUUUUGUCCUCACUGGCCAGUCAGCUCUCAACCUCUACACUUCAGCCUCAUACUUCGGGAAGAAUAUGGAAAAAUCCAUCAGGGGUCAGUCGCUGCUGUUGUUCACUC